GGUGCCUACGGGACGCAGCAGUGAGGAAUAUUGGUCAAUGGUCGGGAGACUGAACCAGCCAAGCCGCGUGAGGGAUGAAGGUACAGAGUAUCGUAAACCUCUUUUGUCAGGGAACAAAGGCGGGGACGCGUCCCCGGAUGAGUGUACCUGAAGAAAAAGCAUCGGCUAACUCCGUGCCAGCAGCCGCGGUAAUACGGAGGAAGCGAGCGUUAUCCGGAUUUAUUGAGUUUAAAGGGUGCGCAGGCGGGCUGUUAAGUCAGCGGUCAAAGCCCGGGGCUCAACCCCGGCCCGCCGUUGAAACUGGC
rnacentral:rRNA from 1 species